rnacentral:lncRNA from 1 species
CCGCAUCCUCCUUUAUAUAUAUAUAUAUUGAUUGAUUUAUUACACAUUAAAAUUUUAAAUAAUAUUCAUGAAAAAAAAUAGAGUAAAUGACAAAGUGGUGGCUGUGGUUUCUCAAAUUUUACAAAAUGUUGGCUAGAGUUUAAAAACUACAGAUUGGUGGCUGAACUUUACCUCCGUCUUUUAAUAAGGUGGCCGCCGUUAAGUUCCGUUAAAUCUGGUCGUUAAAUAAAAAAAAAAAAAGAAGAAGGGUAAAAACGUUAUUUUGACUACCCAUCAAUCUCCUUUUGCCUCCCUAUCGUCUCAUCCCUCUGUUCUAUGCUCAGGACCACCACGACGAGGCUCAGCAUUAUAGGAUAUGGUGGGGAGCGAAGCUUCGCCGGAAAACAGCGAGCUUGACUAGUAGGUGGCUGCGAUUGUUUGUGGUUGAAGGAAGUCGGAUGAUGCUUGAACGGAGGGUGAGUGAAGGUCUGGCAGUGCUUGAUUAGGUGUGCGUAACGAGAUGGGAAAUGGUUCGGUGUUGUACAGUCGGCGAGGGAUAUGGGAGGGAGUUGUAAUGGGAGAAUCAAUGGCUGGUGGUGAGUUCGAAUUGCAAAGAUGAAUUGUACAGGAUGAUGUUGAGCAGUUGAAGUUAAUGGUUUGUAGGUGAGAUUGUAGGCUAGAGGUUUGAAUUGGAGUGCAGAGUCGUGGUAAGGACACCUGAGGUGCUGCUGUUGUCGAGAUUCAUGUGGUGGGAGGUUAAAUCCACGGUGGGUUUGUAUAGGUGGUGGGUGGCAGAUUGGUUACGGGAGUUACAUCCGUUUUUACCCCUUUUGUAUUUUUUGAACUCCAGCCAACAUUUUGUAAAAUUUGGGAAACUACAGCCACCACUUUGUUAUUUACUCAAAAAAAUAUAUUAAAAUCACUAUUGAAUACACCCCUAAAAUUAGGAUUCAUUAAUCAUGACCAACAUGCUUUUAAUUAUUGCAAAUCCAAAGUCUAGAAUUAACCGUUGCCUACUUGUCCGAAACAUCAACAUUUAACAACCUUGUAACAGCCUUGCCAUAUUUCUUAGUAGUAAAUUGAUUUUCACUUCUUCAAACGGAGAUUUUGCUUUCUUCACCUUGAAAAUUCUGACUGCCACCGAAUUUUGCCAUUUUAAAUAAGUUGUCACCAACCAAAGAUAAUAAUAAUUUGUUUCCAAAUUAUAAUUUUCUGAAAUCAAGG